rnacentral:lncRNA from 1 species
CUGGUGUAACAAGAGUUGCAAAUUCAGAACACUUUUAACAGAUCUUUUCCUGAGCUUGCACCCAAGAUAUUUUGUUAUUUUGGACUGGAUUCUCAUAUACAGCAGCAUAAAUGAGAAAGGACACUUCUACAUUUGUACAUUAUACAUAACAUACUUUUUGUGACAAUAAAAUAAUUCUGAUCUAAUCUGCUACACCAGUGUCUGCAAAGGAACAUUAUUUAACAUAUGAGCAGCAAUAAUAAUGCAGCUAAAGAAAUUUGUUUUUCAAUUAUACAACAUUCCAGAAGUCAUACCCUUGAGCCUACUGAGCAGCAUGUUUGGAGUUUGUAUGUGUCCAACUCAGGUGCUGCAUGCAGAAACUGAGAAACCAGGUAGGUAUUUGCAUAUGCAGUUUUCAUGUUACACACUCUUGCCUGUCUCUCUGCACUCAGUGUGUUCGUGUGUUUUGCAGGCUGCCAAAAUACAUCAAGGGUCAGGAGCAGAUUGUCAAAGGCAAGACCUUUCAAUUUGUAGAACAUGA